rnacentral:rRNA from 1 species
UUAAGCGACUAAGCGUACACGGUGGAUGCCCUGGCAGUCAGAGGCGAUGAAGGACGUGCUAAUCUGCGAUAAGCGUCGGUGAGGUGAUAUGAACCGUUAUAACCGGCGAUUUCCGAAUGGGGAAACCCAGUGUGUUUCGACACACUAUCAUUAACUGAAUCCAUAGGUUAAUGAGGCGAACCGGGGGAACUGAAACAUCUAAGUACCCCGAGGAAAAGAAAUCAACCGAGAUUCCCCCAGUAGCGGCGAGCGAACGGGGAGGAGCCCAGAGCCUGAAUCAGUGUGUGUGUUAGUGGAAGCGUCUGGAAAGGCGCGCGAUACAGGGUGACAGCCCCGUACACAAAAAUGCACAUAUUGUGAGCUCGAUGAGUAGGGCGGGACACGUGGUAUCCUGUCUGAAUAUGGGGGGACCAUCCUCCAAGGCUAAAUACUCCUGACUGACCGAUAGUGAACCAGUACCGUGAGGGAAAGGCGAAAAGAACCCCGGCGAGGGGAGUGAAAAAGAACCUGAAACCGUGUACGUACAAGCAGUGGGAGCCUCUUUAUGGGGUGACUGCGUACCUUUUGUAUAAUGGGUCAGCGACUUAUAUUCUGUAGCAAGGUUAACCGAAUAGGGGAGCCGAAGGGAAACCGAGUCUUAACUGGGCGUUAAGUUGCAGGGUAUAGACCCGAAACCCGGUGAUCUAGCCAUGGGCAGGUUGAAGGUUGGGUAACACUAACUGGAGGACCGAACCGACUAAUGUUGAAAAAUUAGCGGAUGACUUGUGGCUGGGGGUGAAAGGCCAAUCAAACCGGGAGAUAGCUGGUUCUCCCCGAAAGCUAUUUAGGUAGCGCCUCGUGAAUUCAUCUCCGGGGGUAGAGCACUGUUUCGGCAAGGGGGUCAUCCCGACUUACCAACCCGAUGCAAACUGCGAAUACCGGAGAAUGUUAUCACGGGAGACACACGGCGGGUGCUAACGUCCGUCGUGAAGAGGGAAACAACCCAGACCGCCAGCUAAGGUCCCAAAGUCAUGGUUAAGUGGGAAACGAUGUGGGAAGGCCCAGACAGCCAGGAUGUUGGCUUAGAAGCAGCCAUCAUUUAAAGAAAGCGUAAUAGCUCACUGGUCGAGUCGGCCUGCGCGGAAGAUGUAACGGGGCUAAACCAUGCACCGAAGCUGCGGCAGCGACACUAUGUGUUGUUGGGUAGGGGAGCGUUCUGUAAGCCUGUGAAGGUGGCCUGUGAGGGUUGCUGGAGGUAUCAGAAGUGCGAAUGCUGACAUAAGUAACGAUAAAGCGGGUGAAAAGCCCGCUCGCCGGAAGACCAAGGGUUCCUGUCCAACGUUAAUCGGGGCAGGGUGAGUCGACCCCUAAGGCGAGGCCGAAAGGCGUAGUCGAUGGGAAACAGGUUAAUAUUCCUGUACUUGGUGUUACUGCGAAGGGGGGACGGAGAAGGCUAUGUUGGCCGGGCGACGGUUGUCCCGGUUUAAGCGUGUAGGCUGGUUUUCCAGGCAAAUCCGGAAAACCAAGGCUGAGGCGUGAUGACGAGGCACUACGGUGCUGAAGCGACAAAUGCCCUGCUUCCAGGAAAAGCCUCUAAGCAUCAGGUAACAUCAAAUCGUACCCCAAACCGACACAGGUGGUCAGGUAGAGAAUACCAAGGCGCUUGAGAGAACUCGGGUGAAGGAACUAGGCAAAAUGGUGCCGUAACUUCGGGAGAAGGCACGCUGAUAUGUAGGUGAAGCGACUUGCUCGUGGAGCUGAAAUCAGUCGAAGAUACCAGCUGGCUGCAACUGUUUAUUAAAAACACAGCACUGUGCAAACACGAAAGUGGACGUAUACGGUGUGACGCCUGCCCGGUGCCGGAAGGUUAAUUGAUGGGGUUAGCGGUAACGCGAAGCUCUUGAUCGAAGCCCCGGUAAACGGCGGCCGUAACUAUAACGGUCCUAAGGUAGCGAAAUUCCUUGUCGGGUAAGUUCCGACCUGCACGAAUGGCGUAAUGAUGGCCAGGCUGUCUCCACCCGAGACUCAGUGAAAUUGAACUCGCUGUGAAGAUGCAGUGUACCCGCGGCAAGACGGAAAGACCCCGUGAACCUUUACUAUAGCUUGACACUGAACAUUGAGCCUUGAUGUGUAGGAUAGGUGGGAGGCUUUGAAGUGUGGACGCCAGUCUGCAUGGAGUCGACCUUGAAAUACCACCCUUUAAUGUUUGAUGUUCUAACGUUGGCCCGUAAUCCGGGUUGCGGACAGUGUCUGGUGGGUAGUUUGACUGGGGCGGUCUCCUCCUAAAGAGUAACGGAGGAGCACGAAGGUUGGCUAAUCCUGGUCGGACAUCAGGAGGUUAGUGCAAUGGCAUAAGCCAGCUUGACUGCGAGCGUGACGGCGCGAGCAGGUGCGAAAGCAGGUCAUAGUGAUCCGGUGGUUCUGAAUGGAAGGGCCAUCGCUCAACGGAUAAAAGGUACUCCGGGGAUAACAGGCUGAUACCGCCCAAGAGUUCAUAUCGACGGCGGUGUUUGGCACCUCGAUGUCGGCUCAUCACAUCCUGGGGCUGAAGUAGGUCCCAAGGGUAUGGCUGUUCGCCAUUUAAAGUGGUACGCGAGCUGGGUUUAGAACGUCGUGAGACAGUUCGGUCCCUAUCUGCCGUGGGCGCUGGAGAACUGAGGGGGGCUGCUCCUAGUACGAGAGGACCGGAGUGGACGCAUCACUGGUGUUCGGGUUGUCAUGCCAAUGGCACUGCCCGGUAGCUAAAUGCGGAAGAGAUAAGUGCUGAAAGCAUCUAAGCACGAAACUUGCCCCGAGAUGAGUUCUCCCUGACUCCUUGAGAGUCCUGAAGGAACGUUGAAGACGACGACGUUGAUAGGCCGGGUGUGUAAGCGCAGCGAUGCGUUGAGCUAACCGGUACUAAUGAACCGUGAGGCUUAACCUU